rnacentral:rRNA from 1 species
GUAAACGAUGAACACUAGGUGUCGGGGGAAUCGACCCCCUCGGUGUCGUAGCCAACGCGUUAAGUGUUCCGCCUGGGGAGUACGCACGCAAGUGUGAAACUCAAAGGAAUUGACGGGGGCCCGCACAAGCGGUGGAGUAUGUGGUUUAAUUCGAUGCAACGCGAAGAACCUUACCAGGGUUUGACAUCCUGCGAAUCCCUUGGAAACGGGGGAGUGCCUUCGGGAGCGCAGAGACAGGUGGUGCAUGGCUGUCGUCAGCUCGUGUCGUGAGAUGUUGGGUUAAGUCCCGCAACGAGCGCAACCCACGUCGUUAGUUGCCAGCAUUCAGUUGGGCACUCUAGCGAGACCGCCGGUGAUAAACCGGAGGAAGGUGUGGAUGACGUCAAGUCAUCAUGCCCCUUACAUCCUGGGCUACACACGUACUACAAUGCUACGGACAAAGGGCAGCAAGCUCGCGAGAGUUAGCAAAUCCCAUAAACCGUGGCUCAGCUCAGAUCGUAGGCUGCAACUCGCCUACGUGAAGGAGGAAUCGCUAGUAAUCGCAGGUCAGCAUACUGCGGUGAAUACGUUCCCGGGCCUUGUACACACCGCCCGUCACACCAUGGA